UCGGUCCCUAUCUGCCGUGGGCGCUGGAGAAUUGAGGGGGGCUGCUCCUAGUACGAGAGGACCGGAGUGGACGCAUCACUGGUGUUCGGGUUGUCAUGCCAAUGGCACUGCCCGGUAGCUAAAUGCGGAAAAGAUAAGUGCUGAAAGCAUCUAAGCACGAAACUUGCCCCGAGAUGAGUUCUCCCUGAGACUUUAAGUCUCCUGAAGGAACGUUGAAGACGACGACGUUGAUAGGUCGGGUGUGUAAGCGCAGCGAUGCGUUGAGCUAACCGAUACUAAUGAACCGUGAGGCUUAACCUU
rnacentral:rRNA from 1 species